AGAGUUUGAUCCUGGCUCAGGACGAACGCUGGCGGCGUGCCUAAUACAUGCAAGUCGAACCACUGACAGAGAAACUUGUUUCUCUCGACGUGAGUGGCGCACGGGUGAGUAACACGUGGGAACCUACCCUUCAGCGGGGGAUAACCGUCGGAAACGAUGGCUAAUACCGCAUAGGUCUUUAACCGCCUGGUUGAAAGAGGAAAGACGGCUUCGGCUGUCACUGAAGGAUGGUCCCGCGGUCAUUAGCUAGUUGGUAAGGUAACGGCUUACCAAGGCGAUGAUGCAUAGCCGACCUGAGAGGUGAUCGGCCACAUUGGGACUGAGACACGGCCCAAACUCCUACGGGAGGCAGCAGUAGGGAUCUUCCGCAAUGGACGCAAGUCUGACGGAGCAACGCCGCGUGUGUGAAGAAGGUCUUCGAUCGUAAAGCACUGUUAUUAGAGAAGAACAACCGGUAGAGUAACUGUUACCGGCUUGACGUAUCUAACCAGAAAGCCACGGCUAACUACGUGCCAGCAGCCGCGGUAAUACGUAGGUGGCAGCGUUGUCCGGAUUUAUUGGGCGUAAAGGGAGCGCAGGCGGUGACUUAAGUCUGAUGUGAAGCCCACGGCUCAACCGUGGAAGGUCAUUGGAAACUGGGUCACUUGAGUGCAGAAGAGGAAGUGGAAUUCCAUGUGUAGCGGUGAAAUGCGUAGAUAUAUGGAGGAACACCAGUGGCGAGGCGACUUUCUGGUCUGUAACUGACGCUGAGCUCGAAAGCGUGGGGAGCAAACAGGAUUAAUACCCUGGUAGUCCACGCCGUAAACGAUGAGUGCUAAGUGUUUGGAGGGUUUCCACCCUCAGUGCUGGAGUUAA
rnacentral:rRNA from 1 species